UACAGAGGUCCCAAGCGUUGUUCGGAUUUACUGGGCGUAAAGGGUGCGUAGGUGGCGAGGUAAGUUCGAUGUGAAAUCUCCGAGCUCAACUCGGAAAUGGCAUUGAAUACUAUCCCGCUUGAGGGUCGGAGGGGAGACUGGAAUUCUCGGUGUAGCAGUGAAAUGCGUAGAUAUCGAGAGGAACACCAAUUGCGAAGGCAGCUCGCUGGGACGUAACUGACGCUGAGACGCGAAAGCGUGGGGAGCAAACGGG
rnacentral:rRNA from 1 species